GUUAAUGUCAAUGUCAGCAGGGUGUUGGUUUUUGAAAUCUUACAUGAGUUCAUUUUGCGAGUUGUAGAACGAAUGGUGCUGUUUGUACCCAAUACAAAGUCUUAUUUCAACCAAUGUAUACAGGUGGCAUUGUCGUUUUGAUGUAGUUAAUUUACUUCAUGACACGAGCAGUCAAAUUACUGUUGCGCUCAAGUAUUGAUCAGAAUGCUUCAGUUCUAAAGAUGCUAGAAGAGCAUAAACGAGCACCACCACCACCCAGCGUUUCAGUAAUAUUGAUCAAUUUUUGUAUUGUGUAUCAUCAUUAUAAAAUGGCAAAAUGAGGUUUAACUUGCAUUUUUGUCUACUUAAAUGGUAGUGUAUCUUAUUAGUGGACAAGAACAAAUUCGGGCUUAAUCGCCUCACUUUUCUUGUUAUCUGCAGUUUAAGUUAGAUAGCCUUUCCAAA